CCUGGGGGGCGUGCUUACACAUGCGAGUCGAACGGUGAAGCAGAGCUUGCUCUGUGGAUCAGUGGCGAACGGGUGAGUAACACGUGAGCAACCUGCCCCUGACUCUGGGAUAAGCGCUGGAAACGGCGUCUAAUACUGGAUAUGAGCUGCGAUCGCAUGGUCAGCAGUUGGAAAGAUUUUUCGGUCUGGGAUGGGCUCACGGCCUAUCAGCUUGUUGGUGAGGUAAUGGCUCACCAAGGCGUCGACGGGUAGCCGGCCUGAGAGGGUGACCGGCCACACUGGGACUGAGACACGGCCCAGACUCCUACGGGAGGCAGCAGUGGGGAAUAUUGCACAAUGGGCGAAAGCCUGAUGCAGCAACGCCGCGUGAGGGAUGACGGCCUUCGGGUUGUAAACCUCUUUUAGCAGGGAAGAAGCGAAAGUGACGGUACCUGCAGAAAAAGCGCCGGCUAACUACGUGCCAGCAGCCGCGGUAAUACGUAGGGCGCAAGCGUUAUCCGGAAUUAUUGGGCGUAAAGAGCUCGUAGGCGGUUUGUCGCGUCUGCUGUGAAAUCCCGAGGCUCAACCUCGGGUCUGCAGUGGGUACGGGCAGACUAGAGUGCGGUAGGGGAGAUUGGAAUUCCUGGUGUAGCGGUGGAAUGCGCAGAUAUCAGGAGGAACACCGAUGGCGAAGGCAGAUCUCUGGGCCGUUACUGACGCUGAGGAGCGAAAGGGUGGGGAGCAAACAGGCUUAGAUACCCUGGUAGUCCACCCCGUAAACGUUGGGAACUAGUUGUGGGGUCCAUUCCACGGAUUCCGUGACGCAGCUAACGCAUUAAGUUCCCCGCCUGGGGAGUACGGCCGCAAGGCUAAAACUCAAAGGAAUUGACGGGGACCCGCACAAGCGGCGGAGCAUGCGGAUUAAUUCGAUGCAACGCGAAGAACCUUACCAAGGCUUGACAUAUACGAGAACGGGCCAGAAAUGGUCAACUCUUUGGACACUCGUAAACAGGUGGUUGCA
rnacentral:rRNA from 1 species